rfam:Salmo salar isolate Sally breed double haploid chromosome ssa09, whole genome shotgun sequence.
GGUUUCACAACUUGUAAGUUGCUCUGGAUAAGAGCGUCUGCUAAAUGACUUAAA